AUUGAAGCCCUGGUUCUCAUCUGAUCACUGAAGUUAAGCAAUGUGGAGGCUGGUUAGAACCCAGAUGAGUGAUCAUUUGGUAAUACCAGGUGUCGUAA